rnacentral:lncRNA from 7 species
AACAGUUGUUGGAGGAGUCUUUGGUUGAGUUGCUUUCACCACAGAGAUGAAAACUGAAGCGAGCAUUGAAGCAGUCCAAUGAAACUAGAGCUUCUUAAACAUCUGAUUUGUAAGGAAGAAAAGAUUAGUGAAUUGCUGCGAAUACAUCAGUAAACCAUCCUCAUACUCUCAAUCUGUCACCUUUUGGUUAAUUUCGGUCAAACUUGUCAGAUAAAAUGGAGAACGCAAAGGCCUGAAAGAUACAUGGUGUAGGGGCCAUGUGGAGGCUGUGGGACCCUCAGCCUGGAGUUGGACCAUGAUGCUCACCAGUGACCCACACAUAUAUCCUUUCACAUUCUCUCCCUUGUCCUCUGGGAAUACCCAUGGAGAAGAGCAAGGAUAAGUGUGAGCAGCAUGGUGUGAGCUCAAGCAGCGCUGAAAGAUUGAAAGACUGAGGUGCCUCUAGAGGAGGGAACUAGAGGGUUAGGAACACAAUGGUAUUGGGAAUACAGAGCCAUAGGAAACAAGGUGUCGUUAAUCUUCCAACUUGUAGACCUGCUAUUGUAUGUUACUCUACACUGUUUUUAAUUUUAGGAAAUAGGUGCUCAGGGUGCUUCUUUUUUAAUGUUAAUUUUUUCUUAGCAUAUCCGUAAUUUUGCAAAACAAAUUAUGUGUACACUGUAAUGCUAUACUUAGAAUAAGCAUUUGGAAUUAGAGUUUUAUGUGAGAAAUGAAAAUAAUAAUAGUCUUUUUUUUUUAAUCAAGAAAUUAACCCCUUCAUAACUCCUUCCAAUUAAGCACUGGGAUGGAAAAUAUCUCUAAUUGUGUUUAUCCAUUUAGUUCAUUAGAGAAUAAUGGAACAGUUGAUUAAACCAUAAUUUUAUAUUUAACCUCAGUUUUGGAAUCCUUUGUAACCUAAGGAAAAAUUUCUUCUUGUGUCCUGAAACUUCUCCUGCUGAUUCUCAGGCAAGAGGAGACUUUUUCAAUCUUCAUACAGCUUGGUUAUAAAGACAUUGUAUUUCUGCAUUAACCACCACAGCAUGCUGUCGAUCAGGGGUCUUUCUUUGGUUUGUCUUGAUGCCUUUAAAACACAGGAACAUUUGAACUCAAAAAGUUUCCAAACUUGGCUAAAGAUCUGAAUUCCACCUUAAAGCACAAGAUAAUUCAUGUCCAGUUUAAAGUCAUCUCCUUAAUCUAUUGUGCCUACAAAUUAUGAAAGGGUCACCAAACCACCAGGAGACCUUUCGUAGCUACAGUAGGUACCAUAAUCCCUCAAUGCAAACAGUAGACAAAAGUUUGACGUUAGAUACAGAAAGAGGUUCAAACUUUCCUCUGAAUUUCCUUACUUUUGUGCAUCCAAGGUCAGAACCUUAAUGUUAUCUGAAUAUAUUGUGUUUUGUGAUUUAAUAAAGCAAUGUUAGAGGC